AUACCGGGCCUUUUUGGGCUUGGUAAUUGGAAUGAGGGAGAGUUAAACGGACCAUCGAGUAUCCAUUGGAGGGCAAGUCUGGUGCCAGCAGCUGCGGUAAUACCAGCUCCAAUAGCGUAUAUUAAAGUUGUUGCAGUUAAAAAGCUCGUAGUUGGACUUGUGUGCGCUGUCCGCGGGUGGCCUGCGCCCAAAAGGGCGUUUCGGUUCGGCCCCGGUGGCGCCUUGAAAUCUGCAGCUGGGAGGACGUUGGCCUUAACUGGUCGGCGACCGCACGCCGGCUGCUCGGUUACUGUGAGAAAAUUAGAGUGUUCAAGGCAGGCAUUGGGUGCAAUUGAAUACAUUAGCAUGGAAUAAUAAAAUAUGGCUCCUGCCGUAUUUUGUUGGUUUUGACUGGUGGGAGUAAUGAUUGAUAGGGACGGUUGGGGGUGCUAGUAUUGAGCGGCCAGAGGUGAAACUCAUGGAUUCGCUCAAGACUAACUUAUGCGAAAGCAUUCACCAAGGACGUCCUCUUUAAUCAAGAACGAAAGUUGGGGGAUCGAAGACGAUCAGAUACCGUCGUAGUCUCAACCAUAAACUAUGUCGACUUGGGAUCGGCGGUAGUUUUUUCAUUAAGACACUGUCGGGACCACGGGAGAAAUCAAAGUGUCUGGACUCUGGGGGAAGUAUGGUCGCAAGGCUGAAACUUGAAGGAAUUGACGGAAGGGCACCACCAGGAGUGGAGCCUGCGGCUUAAUUUGACCCAACACGGGGAAACUUACCAGGUCCAGAGAUGUAGAGGAUUGACAGAUUGAAGCUCUUUCUUGAUCACUUCGGUGGUGGUGCAUGGCCGUUCUUAGUUGGUGGAGUGAUUUGUCUGGUUAAUUCCGUUAACGAACGAGACCUCAGCCUGCUAGUGUAGUCGGCUGGAUUGCCUUUGGCGAUCCGUGAUUUCGACUUCUUAGAGGGACAAUCGACGCGCAGUCGAUGGAAGUUUGAGGCAAUAACAGGUCUGUGAUGCCCUUAGAUGUUCUGGGCCGCACGCGCGCUACACUGCUGGGCUCAGCGAGUUUUACUUGGCCGAGAGGCCCGGUUAAUCUUGUGAAAUCCCAGCGUGCUUGGGCUCGCCUCCUGCAACUGGAGGCGCCAACGAGGAAUUCCUAGUAGACGCAGGUCAUCAACCUGCAUCGAUUACGUCCCUGCCCUUUGUACACACCGCCCGUCGUUCCAUAAGAGUGAGGCAUCCGGUGAAUUCUCGGGAGAGCCUGGGCGUGGCCAGCAAUGGUCUGCUCGGGUUUGAACUUGCAUAAACUUGGUGCCUAUGAUUAGGG
rnacentral:rRNA from 1 species